rnacentral:rRNA from 1 species
AGCGAACGUUUGCGGCGGGCCUAACACAUGCAAGUCGAACGCACUAGCAAUAGUGAGUGGCGCACGGGUGCGUAACACGUGGGUAAUCAACCCUUCAGCCUGGGAUAACGACUCGAAAGGGUCGCUAAUACCGGAUACGGCGCGAGAGGCUUCGGCUUCUCACGAGAAAGCCACGCAAGGGGCACUGAAGGACGAGCCUGUGGCCCAUCAGCUAGUUGGUGAGGUAAGAGCUCACCAAGGCUAAGACGGUAGCUGGUCUGAGAGGAUGAUCAGCCACACUGGAACUGAGACACGGUCCAGACUCCUACGGGAGGCAGCAGUGGGGAAGUAUUGCGCAAUGGGCGAAAG